UGGGGAAUAUUGCACAAUGGGCGAAAGCCUGAUGCAGCAACGCCGCGUGAGUGAUGAAGGUCUUCGGAUUGUAAAGCUCUGUCUUUUGGGACGAUAAUGACGGUACCAAAGGAGGAAGCCACGGCUAACUACGUGCCAGCAGUCGCGGUAAUACGUAGGUGGCGAGCGUUGUCCGGAUUUACUGGGCGUAAAGGGUGCGUAGGCGGAUGUUUAAGUGAGAUGUGAAAUACCCGGGCUUAACUUGGGUGCUGCAUUUCAAACUGGAUAUCUAGAGUGCAGGAGAGGAGAAUGGAAUUCCUAGUGUAGCGGUGAAAUGCGUAGAGAUUAGGAAGAACACCAGUGGCGAAGGCGAUUCUCUGGACUGUAACUGACGCUGAGGCACGAAAGCGUGGGUAGCAAACAGGAUUAGAUACCCUGGUAGUCCACGCCGUAAACGAUGAGUACUAGGCGUAGGAGGUAUCGACCCCUUCUGUGCCGCAGUAAACACAUUAAGUACUCCGCCUGGGAAGUACGAUCGCAAGAUUAAAACUCUAAAGUGAAUUGAC
rnacentral:rRNA from 1 species